GAUGAACGCUGGCGGCGUGCCUAAUACAUGCAAGUCGAGCGAACAGACGAGGAGCUUGCUCCUCUGAUGUUAGCGGCGGACGGGUGAGUAACACGUGGAUAUCCUACCUAUAAGACUGGGAUAACUUCGGGAAACCGGAGCUAAUACCGGAUAACAUGUUGAACCGCAUGGUUCAACAGUGAAAGACGGUCUUGCUGUCACUUAUAGAUGGAUCCGCGCCGCAUUAGCUAGUUGGUAAGGUAACGGCUUACCAAGGCAACGAUGCGUAGCCGACCUGAGAGGGUGAUCGGCCACACUGGAACUGAGACACGGUCCAGACUCCUACGGGAGGCAGCAGUAGGGAAUCUUCCGCAAUGGGCGAAAGCCUGACGGAGCAACGCCGCGUGAGUGAAGAAGGUCUUCGGAUCGUAAAACUCUGUUAUUAGGGAAGAACAAAUGUGUAAGUAACUAUGCACGUCUUGACGGCACCUAAUCAGAAAGCCACGGCUAACUACGUG
rnacentral:rRNA from 1 species